rnacentral:tRNA from 1 species
GGUCCUGUGGUGUAGUGGUUAUCACGUCUGCUUCACACGCAGAAGGUGUCGGUUCGAUCCCAGCCAGGACCU